CACAUUUAUCAGUGAUUGCAAUAAUAUCGAACAAAAGGAAUGUGGUCCAUGCUGUUCCUAAAGAAAAAAGAAACAAAAAAGAAUGAAAAGGAUAAACGGGUAUAUUCCACGUAUUCGACGAUUUGUUUUUCUAAUUAAAUUAUCAAUUAUCUCUUAUUCUUUAUUCACAAAGGUUUUAUGUACUGUUGUCUUGUUGAUGUUGCGUUCUGUACGUUUUUCCAUUUACAAAAUUUCCCGUAAUUUGUAUAAAAAUCCACAGUCUAUAAUUAGUAUUUGUGUAAUUAUCAAAAUGUUUUCGCUCACGUGUCUCAUCCUAUACGUUAACUUCGUGUAUUGAUAAUGUUCGACUAUUUCUCGUCUUCCACCUAACAGUAUACUUCUUCGUUCUACUUCUGAUAAAACAUGUGUAUUUCUACGUGUCAGAAUGAUUCGUGUGGGGCCAAAUUUUGUACUCGAGAAUCGAAGUAAGUGCUCGAAAUAAAGAUACUAGAAAGAUUUGGAAGAUCCAAGCACAUAAUACGUGGAAUAUAAGGCAGCCUGGAAGAAACGUAAAACAGAGGGUGAAAAAGGUACCGUAUGAUAAUCGAAAGCGAUAAAACAUCGAACACAUACGGAGAUUAUGCACUGCGGCACAGUGAGGCUGCAGUCCCGAUAAAGGACAAUAACUACGGAGAAAAAUGAUAAAUACCGAAGAAAAGAAGAAAAAGAAAACGAAUCGUGAUUCUUAUCGAUAUCUAUUAUCGUAGUGCUACAUAUAAUAAUCGAAAUAAGGAGUAAGGAAACGAAACGAUCUACUAAUCACUACGAGAAUGAUCGAAUGGACUCUUUCAAACUCGCCACAUUGAUUUAGAAAAUCGACCAUUUCAGAAAUUCGUUAAAUUCAACGAAUAUUAAGUUUUAAUCCUUUCUCCAGUAAAUUAGCUUCUAGAAAAAUUCUAAUACUUAGCAGUGCCCAUCUACUGAUACUAUUGUUAGCUUCGUUGCCGAAUGUGAAAGCUAAGAGUAUGAGGUUCUACUUAAUCACUGAUGUAUACGUUACUAUUCUAUUGUUGCAGUAGAAAGAUAAGACGUUUGAUAGAAAAUAUUGGAGAAAGGCUUAAAUUGCAUCAAAAAUGAAUAGAGGAAAUUUCUUUCCUUAGAAUAUCUCCCAAUUUAUUUUCGAGCUGCGUUG
rnacentral:misc_RNA from 1 species